rnacentral:rRNA from 1 species
AACGAACGCUGGCGGCAUGCCUAACACAUGCAAGUCGAACGAGACCUUCGGGUCUAGUGGCGCACGGGUGCGUAACGCGUGGGAACCUGCCCUUAGGUUCGGAAUAACUCCCCGAAAGGGGUGCUAAUACCGGAUAAUGUCUUCGGACCAAAGAUUUAUCGCCUUUGGAUGGGCCCGCGUUGGAUUAGCUAGUUGGUAGGGUAAAAGCCUACCAAGGCGACGAUCCAUAGCUGGUCUGAGAGGAUGAUCAGCCACACUGGGACUGAGACACGGCCCAGACUCCUACGGGAGGCAGCAGUGGGGAAUAUUGGACAAUGGGCGAAAGUCUGAUCCAGCAAUGCCGCGUGAGUGAUGAAGGCCUUAGGGUUGUAAAGCUCUUUUACCCGGGAUGAUAAUGACAGUACCGGGAGAAUAAGCGCCGGCUAACUCCGUG